rnacentral:rRNA from 1 species
UAAGUUGGUAGUGAAAGCGUGGGGCUCAACCUCAUAUCCAUUACCAAAACUGCAGAGCUAGAGAAUGAGAGAGGUGGCUGGAAUUCCCUGUGUAGGAGUGAAAUCCGUAGAUAUAGGGAGGAACACCGAUGGCGUAGGCAGGCCACUGGCUCAUUUCUGACACUAAGGCACGAAAGCGUGGGAGCAAACGGGAUUAGAUACCCCGGUAGUCCACGCCGUAAACGAUGGAUGCUA